rnacentral:tRNA from 1 species
GCGCCCUUAGCUCAGUGGAUUAGAGCAUCUGACUACGGAUCAGAAGGUCGGGGGUUCGAAUCCCUCAGGGCGCG